AAGAGCGUGCAUCCGACGUUAGGCGUCCACACUUAUCGGUUUGUUUGAUGUUACAGCCAAGGGUCUGUAGCUCAGGUGGUUAGAGCACCGUCUUGAUAAGGCGGGGGUCGUAGGUUCAAGUCCUACCAGACCCACCAAGUUACGGACGGUGGAAGUUGUUCUCUGCCGUGACUGGGGGAUUAGCUCAGCUGGGAGAGCACCUGCUUUGCAAGCAGGGGGUCGUCGGUUCGAUCCCGUCAUCCUCCACCAUUACCUUUUGGUUACCAAACGCAAGCAUCGACGCUGUGUCGAUGGUGUUUGCGUUUGGCCUAGCCAAGACGAGCGUAAAAGUUCGGCUGUUCUUUAACAAUAUGGAAUGUAGUAAAGGUGUCGCGGUGCGUUGAUGAGACGCACACUCAAACGCGACACUGGGUUGUGAUUGUAUCAACCAGUAUUACCAGAGCAAUCGAUGAGAUUGUCUUGGAAUACGGCACAACGCGAGAACUCAGCCUAUAGCGAGACAUACUCGUUAUAG
rnacentral:misc_RNA from 1 species